AUUGAACGCUGGCGGCAGGCCUAACACAUGCAAGUCGAGCGAGCAGCGGACGGGUGAGGAAUAUAUGGGGAACUACCCGAUAGCGGGGGAUAACUAAUGGAAACGGUGGCUAAUACCGCAUACUAUCGGAUGAACACAUAUGGGAUUAGCUAGUAGGUGGGGUAAAGGCUCACCUAGGCGACGACCUCGAGCUGGUCGGAGAGGAUGAUCAGCCACACUGGGACGGAGACACGGCCCAGACUCCUACGUUAGGCAGCAGUGGGGAAUAUUGCACAAUGGGCGCAAUCCUGAGGCAGCCAUGCCGCGUGUAUGAAGAAGGCCUUAGGGUUGUAAAGUACUUUCAGCGGGGAGGCGUUACCCGCCGAAGAAGCACCGGCUUACUCCGUGCCAGCAGCCGCGGUAAUUC
rnacentral:rRNA from 1 species